AAAUCGUUCCCUAAGUUUUGCAACUGUAGUGGUUUUGGCCCCAAGGCCAAAAAAAAAACAUAAAAACAAUAACACGUGGCACCUCGCUUAGGGUGCCACGUCAGCAUAGACCGAGUCAAAAUUGGCCUUGGGGGCCAAAACUACCACAGGUGAAAAACUUAGGGGCGGUUU
rnacentral:pre_miRNA from 1 species